UACGAAGGGGGCUAGCGUUGCUCGGAAUCACUGGGCGUAAAGGGUGCGUAGGCGGGUCUUUAAGUCAGGGGUGAAAUCCUGGAGCUCAACUCCAGAACUGCCUUUGAUACUGAGGAUCUUGAGUACGGGAGAGGUGAGUGGAACUGCGAGUGUAGAGGUGAAAAUUCGUAGAUAUUCGCAAGAACACCAGUGGCGAAGGCGGCUCACUGGACUGGUACUGACGCUGAUGCGCGAAAGCGUGGGGGAGCAAACAGG
rnacentral:rRNA from 1 species